rnacentral:tRNA from 1 species
GUGUAGCUCAGUGGUAGGGCACAUGCUUAGCAUGCACGAGAUCCUGGGUUCAAUCCCAGUAC